rnacentral:rRNA from 1 species
AUGGAUCUGGCCCUCACUCUGUCUCCCUCUCGCUCACUCACUCUCUCCCCCCUCACUCUCACUCUCCCCCUCGCUCUGUUUCCCCUGGCCGAGCUCUCCAUCGUCGCCGACCACCUCAGUUCCUCGUCGCCGGCCAGGAUGCCUUCUUGGAAUGAUGGGGAUGAGAGCUCCGACGAUAGCAUGGGGGGCAACCUGAUGGACAUGGAGUACUUUGACACACCUGACACCAUCCCUGAGCCACUCUGGUGUGGUGCUCCCAUGGAGGAAGUUGCCAAGUGUACUCUGCAUGAUAUGAAGCCUAGGAAGUGUGUUGCUUUUGAAGGUGCUAAGACUGGGAGGAGGUUCUAUGGAUGCCCUGUUCAGGGAGGUGUGAAUUGUGGUGUAGUUCAGUGGGUUGAUCCUGCCUGGCCUGAUGUACUUAAGAACUGCCUCAUCAAGUUGUGGGAAAUGUUCCAUGAGCAAAACCUUGGAAGGAUUCAAGACAAGCAUGCAUAUGAGGAUGAGGUUGCCAAGUUGAAGAAGGACUAUGAUCUGCUCUGCACUGAGUAUCAUAAAAUGGUUGAUGAUGUUAGCAAGAUGUUUGACUGGCAUGAUGGUGUUGGCAAGAUUGACUACCAAAAAGCAAUGAAUGCUGGGAAAUUUGAGAAGCAGAAGGAAGAGCUAGAGCUGGAGAUGAAGAUGGAGAAGCUAAGGCUAGCAAAAGAACAGAGGUGUAUCCUUCAGGCCCAGGCAGACAUAAUUCACAACACCAGAAAGGCAAUGAAAGAGAUAAAGGUGGACAGGGAUCUUCUUGCACAAGAGAAGCAGAGCUUGAGAAAGCCUUGCAAGAUGAUGGUAGGAGUAUAUUUUGUGCAGUCCUAUAUGAACUGUUUAAGUUAUGUCUAUAAAGCCCACCCCUUGAGUGAAACCACAGUCAAUCCCCCCAUCCCCACCCUUCUCAACCCCCCAGCCGCCAAAGAAACCCUAGAAUCCAAGGGAGAGAUGGAUCCUGGAGAGGUCAUAGAUGCAGAAGAAGAGGUGCCCAGACAAGCCAGGCGCAGAGAUGCAAGGAGGAGGGCGAGAAGGCAACUUGCUGAGAUGAUCCUUGCAGCACGCAACCGCAAGGACAUAGAGCAGUUCCUGGAGGCAUUCCCCCCUGGUUCCAACCCUAGUGAUGAUGAUAUCAUCUACUGGGCAAGGAGGAGGGCAAAUUUCCAUCCCUUUUAG